AUGUUUUAUAUACUGAGGUUUUAGUGUUGCUUGUUACAACAUGCCUAGCUUAGCAGAAUGUUAUUUUUACUGCAGUUACUGCUAUCAUUAUUGGAAAUUACUCAAUGAGUUCUUCCAGAAACAAAAGGGGAGUGUAGAAGACUUAAAUUCAGAUAACAAAGUAUCCACAUGCUGCUCAUCCUGAGUGAACCUUCUGCCAUAAGGUGAAGAAACCCUGCUUGAUGACCCUACUGAGGCUGACUCUGGCUGACCUGCAUUCAAGCUGAGACACCAGAGUUCUCAUUCACCAAGGCAGACCCAAGUUCUGCA
rnacentral:lncRNA from 1 species